rnacentral:rRNA from 1 species
CGCAUCUGUGCAUGCAGCAUAUCAAUAAGCGGAGGAAAAGAAACUAAACAAGGAUUCCCCUAGUAACGGCGAGUGAAGCGGGAAGAGCUCAAAUUUGAAAUCUUAAAGGGUUUCCCUUUACGAAUUGUAGUUUAAAGAAGUGUUUUUCUGUUGAGGUUUUGGUAAAAGUUCUUUGGAAUAGGACAUCAUAGAGGGUGAGAAUCCCGUAUUUGACCUUUACUUUCAACUUUGUGAUACACUUUCAAAGAGUCGGAUUGUUUGGGAAUGCAGUCCAAAAUGGGUGGUAAAUUUCAUCUAAAGCUAAAUAUUGGCGAGAGACCGAUAGCGAACAAGUACCGUGAGGGAAAGAUGAAAAGAACUUUGAAAAGAGAGUUAAACAGUACGUGAAAUUGUCAAAAGGGAAGCGUUUGACACCAGUGUUGUUUUUCUGAAAAUCAAUUAAAGAACUGUUUAUGCUAAGUUGUUUAGACUUUAUCAGCUAACUGUUUAGUUUUGAGCUUUUCUUUAAUGCACUUUUCAGUUAACAAGUCAACAUCAAUUUCUUUUGCUGUAAAAAAGCUUGAGGAAGGUGGCUUGAGAUUCGUCUUAAGUGUUUAUAGCCUCUUGCCUAUGCAGUCGGAGAGAUUGAGGUCUGCAGCGUAGAUCCUUCGGGGCUAAAUGCAUUUGUGCUAAGUUAUAGCAUUUUAUAGACAACUUGUUGACUAUGAUUUGUCUUGUAGCUUACUCGCUUAUGUUAUUUUACCUACGCUUAGGAUGUUGAACGCGCACAGAGUCUC